AGCAGAAAACGCCCCUGCAAAGUGGGGGAACUGUGUCCCUGCGCCCGUGCAGUUCCUUCCCCUCGCCACGCGCGCCAGGAGAGGAAACUGAGGCACAGAGAGGCGACCAGCCCAUGGGCACGGCCAGUCGAGAGCAGCCCCUGAAGGCGAGCCUAGAUCCCGGGACCAGGGUCAGCUUGGUAUUUGAGGGGCGCGGGGAAGGAGAGAGGUCCCCGGAGCUCGCCCGGGACAACAGGGCCCCCGGAGGCGGCGGUGAGGACUGUGCCUGCCUCACUCUGCAGCCCCUAUUGGGGCCACUGGGGAAAAGGCCCAGCAGCGAAACCAACUAGUCCAAGCCAGGCAAGGAACCGUCCUAGACGGCUGGUGGGAACAACCGCGCAGCUGCUGUGGAAAAAGCCCGGCGGUUCCUCAAACCACGAGCCCUGGAGUCUCCAUAAAACCCAUCAACUCCACUCCUAGGUGUCUGCGCGCCCAAGAGAAAUAAAAAUGUUUGUCCAC
rnacentral:lncRNA from 10 species